AUGUUAAGGUUAAUGUUAAGUGCUAACCACUAUGCUACCAGCUGUCCGCAGAGCUGUUACCUGCUUGCUUAAAGUAUAUUUUUUGUCCCAUGUUGCUUUACCUAGUCUAAAUUAUAAUGCAGGCAAAAUCACAUAGUUCCUUCUUUGUCUUUCACACCAACGUCAUCCUUUCAAAGCUUUCUCCUGCUGUUGUUUCUUGACAGACCAGUACUGAAAACCUUUAUUAUAACCAUAAACUUGUACUAAAUUUAGCAGAAACCUACUAUGUUGUCCACGGGUAACAGAGAAUCAGGUUUUGAUUCUGGAGAGGGAGCCUGAGAAACAGCUACCACAUCCAAGGAAGGUA
rnacentral:ncRNA from 1 species